UACGUAUGAGGCAAGCGUUGUUCGGAAUUAUUGGGCGUAAGGGGCAUCUAGGCGGGAUGUUAAGUCAGGUGUGAAAGACACAGGCCCAACCUGUGAACUGCAUUUGAUACUGACAUUCUUGAGUUCGGAAGAGGAAGGCGGAAUUCCCGGUGUAGCGGUGAAAUGCGUAGAUAUCGGGAAGAACACCGGUGGCGAAGGCGGCCUUCUGGUCUAGGACUGACGCUGACAUGCGAAAGUGUGGGGAU
rnacentral:rRNA from 1 species